GUCAAAAGGUGUUUCACAUUUAACUCCUCCAGCUUCUCUGAACCUGCGAUGCGCAUGUUGAACAUGCACAGUGUGAGUGUGGUCUUCCUCCCUCUUAGCCUGGUCCUUCUACUGUUUGGAGGAAUAUGUGGCUUGAUCAGUUCCCUGCCCUGGGGCCCCGCCCUCCUCACUAGCACCGUCUCCUAUCUCUUCUUCUGCAGUGUCCUGACCCUCUCCGGUGUCAGCCUGUACAUCAGCAACUCCGAGCAGGCACUGGCAGAGACCGAGAGUCUGGUGGGGGCUGAGCGUCUGGCCCAGGUGGUCAGCACCUCAUUCGAGCUGGUCCCUGGGCCUGGCUGUCCUUCUGCCUGGAGGUCCUCACUGGCCUGCUGCUGGCUGCCCACCCCGCCCUCCAGAGCGGCUCACCGGGCCACGGCAUACCCUCUGUCCUAACCCAAGAGCCAGGCCCUACAGAAGUGUCACAAGGACUGUACCUUCAAUUUUCAAAUUAUUUUUAUGUGCUCGUCUCUGGCACCACAAAUGAAUUUCCCUCUGGAGAAAUAAA
rnacentral:lncRNA from 1 species